rnacentral:SRP_RNA from 1 species
GCCGGGUGUGGUGGUGCAUACCUGUAGUCCCAGCUACUAGGGAGGCUGAGGCAGGAGGAUUGCUUGAACCCUGGCGGCAGAGGUUGCAGUGAGCUGAGAUUGCACCACUGCACUCUAGCCUGGGUGACAAAGGAAGACCCUGUCUCAU